AUCAAGUGCGGGCUCAUCCAAUGGUGCACCAUUGGAUGAGCCCGCACUUGAUUAGUUUGUUGGUAGGGUAAUGGCCUACCAAGACUAUGAUCAAUAGCUGAUUUGAGAGGAUGAUCAGCCACAUUGGGACUGAGACACGGCCCAAACUCCUACGGGAGGCAGCAGUGGGGAAUCUUGCACAAUGGAGGAAACUCUGAUGCAGCGAUGCCGCGUGAGUGAAGAAGGCCUUUGGGUUGUAAAGCUCUUUCGUCGGGGAAGAAAAUGACUGUACCCGAAUAAGAAGGUCCGGCUAACUUCGUGCCAGCAGCCGCGGUAAUACGAAGGGACCUAGCGUAGUUCGGAAUUACUGGGCUUAAAGAGUUCGUAGGUGGUUGAAAAAGUUGGUGGUGAAAUCCCAGAGCUUAACUCUGGAACUGCCAUCAAAACUUUUCAGCUAGAGUAUGAUAGAGGAAAGCAGAAUUUCUAGUGUAGAGGUGAAAUUCGUAGAUAUUAGAAAGAAUACCAAUUGCGAAGGCAGCUUUCUGGAUCAUUACUGACACUGAGGAACGAAAGCAUGGGUAGCGAAGAGGAUUAGAUACCCUCGUAGUCCAUGCCGUAAACGAUGUGUGUUAGACGUUGGAAAUUUAUUUUCAGUGUCGCAGGGAAACCGAUAAACACACCGCCUGGGGAGUACGACCGCAAGGUUAAAACUCAAAUGAAUUGACGGGGACCCGCACAAGUAGUGGAGCAUGUGGUUUAAUUCGAAGAUACGCGCAGAACCUUACCAACACUUGACAUGUUCGUCGCGACUCUAAGAGAUUAGAGUUUUCGGUUCGGCCGGACGAAACACAGGUGCUGCAUGGCUGUCGUCAGCUCGUGUCGUGAGAUGUUGGGUUAAGUCCCGUAACGAGCGCAACCCUUGUCCUUAGUUGCCAGCACGUAAUGGUGGGAACUCUAAGGAGACUGCCGGUGACAAACCGGAGGAAGGUGGGGACGACGUCAAGUCAUCAUGGCCCUUAUGACCAGGGCUACACACGUGCUACAAUGGAGCGUACAGAGGGUUGCUAAGCCGCGAGGUGGAGCCAAUCCCAGAAAACGUUUCGUAGUCCGGAUCGAAGUCUGCAACUCGACUUCGUGAAGUCGGAAUCGCUAGUAAUCGCGAAUCAGCAUGUCGCGGUGAAUACGUUCCCGGGCCUUGUACACACCGCCCGUCACACCAUGGGAGUGGGUUGCAAAAGAAGUAGCUAGGCUAACCUUCGGGAGGCCGGUUACCACUUUGUGAUUCAUGACUGGGGUGAAGUCGUAACAAGGUAGCCCUAGGGGAACCUGGGGCUG
rnacentral:rRNA from 1 species